CGACUAUCAGUUGUCUACAUACUUUUGGUCAUGUAGUGUAUCAUCUUGAUCCUGCUGCCAUCUACUCCAGACAUACCAGAGAGGUCUUGGUUGACUUCACUUAACAAUGUCUGUUGUUCUUGUUAGGGGUUCAGCAGCGACACUGGUGUCAGGAAGUUUAUGGAGCAUCAGCCCCCCUGUUGGAAAGCCAGAGGUAGAUUUCCUCAGCCUUCACAAGCAUCUUCUGGUGACACCAUGGGUUGCCAACGAGGAGGUGAACACUGAGAAGGAUUCCACAGAGAAUGUAGACCUCAACCAGCUAGGCACUAUUCACCAAGGAGUAAUGUGACUGGAGAUUAAAUCUGAGCAACUCACUCUGAGCAACACCAACAGCAAGGACAACCGUAACAAAGAUGUCCUCCCCCUGCAAGAGGUGCAGAAACAGGAGGCUAUGAUUUAUACCUGGCCCUCGACCGUGUCCAAAGUCAUAUCAUAUCACAAAUGUAUAUGACAAAUGAGCAGCAAUUAUUUUCUUUGGAUGUCUGUGGUAUGUUUUGUGAAACAGCUACAGUAAAGAUUGUGUCGUUAUUCCUACUCUUACAGAGCUCUCGUCUGUCUGUUUUCAGAACACUGAGUGCCUGCUAAAGGCCGUAACCCAAUCAUUUAUGUUAGUUGUGGUCUCAGGUCUGUUCUGUAUCGAAGGCAACACAACCCAUCUCUAUUGAAUCUCAUACAACAGACAUGCUUUUGAAAUGUUUGACUUCUGUGUCAAAACAGUUAUUUAGGCAAUGUACAGUAAGUAAAUCAACACCGAAAAUUGUUGCAAUACUCAACUAUAUUUCAUUGUUUGUAGAGGACGGAGCUGGAGGCAAAUAGCCAAAGAAGAAAAAGAACGCCAUUAGGAAGAUCUUCAGCCGCCUCUGGAGGAUCAUAACGUGUUCCUCUGGGAUCUUCAGAGAGGACGACAACUGAGCUGCCUCCAUUGUAAAUAACUGUUUUACAAGUUGAUACCACCAACUGUAACAUCAUCAUGGCCAAUUAUAUCAUUUUAUGUAAAUAACCCAAAAAUAAAAACUCAAUUUUGCCAAAAAGCAACAUUCUGUAUGUGUGCAUUUUCAUGCUAUGCUAUUAUAACUAUGAGUUAUAAAACAUAAAUCAACAUAAAUCAGAAGAGUACCACUUAGGCCUUGAGCGUUCUGAUUUAAGAAUGAGAUUUAGACAAAGUCGUAGAGUGUGUGAAUAGGGAUACAGCCU
rnacentral:lncRNA from 8 species